AAGGGAGAAAACUUCAUAUUUGGGUUGCGGGAAUUCGUACCUACUUUCGUUUUAAACGUUACUUCACCUAAUAUUCCAGUGUUUGUGUGUCGUCAAGAUUAUAUACAAUGUCCAGUAUUCGAUUAAGCUGCCUGUCGUCUUUUUGCACCGAAAAGCACUUGCAAGCGCACUUCGCAAACCCCAGUUAUGGCGGUGGACAAAUCAAACAUAUAUAUUACCCACUCUUUGACAACGACGCAGUAAUUAUCUUUGAAGAUCGGUUAACCGCAGAUUGUGUCAGUAGGCAUAAAGAGCAUGUUAUUGAAGGGGAGGAAAUUGAUGUGCGACCAUUAACGUACCCGCCGGUCUUUAACAAACUUCAUGCGGAGAUGGACCCAGCAGCAGCAAAAAUUUUACAAGCGGAUCAAGCGAUUCGAGAUGCAGUAGAACAAUGUGACGGUCUUACAUUGAGUGUGAUGAACGGUGUUAUUGUGGGUAUAACCGGUAAUUGGUUCCAACUGGAAUGGGUCUGGGCAAAGAUUGAAAGAUUUACAAGAGAACAAAUACACAUUCCAUUCAGCACCGACGACAGCGAAAGAUUGAUCGCACUAGAAAAACUAAGGAAGCUUCUGAACCUUUCACGCAAUUUAAAGUGCCUGGUGCAACUAAAAGCAAUAGUGGAGAUUAUACCAAAGCCUCUGAUUUUGUUUUGGACGAAGCAGAUAAUGUGCAAGUGAGUAUUUCAGAAAGGUCUUAUGGAUAUGAUAACCACGCUGCGACGAUGAAACCUCGGAAUCGCGACUAUAAGGCACAACAGCGAGCGAACACAGCCCAAAUUCAGACUGACUUUAAGCUAUUAAAGGUCGCUUCCAACUCGCAGGCAACUCACAAAUCGGAGACUACAUAUCCAUCGAAACCUGUUUUGAGCCUCGACUUCAAGUAUGUAAAACUAAAAGUCAGUGUCUAUGUAGGCGAAAUCAUUAUGGCAGAGACAGACGUGAUCGUAAACGCAGCCAUGGGGCCGCUUUUCAACGGCGGAGGCGUAGCAUGGGUCAUAGCUUCAAACGCUAGUCCGCAGCUUCAGGAGCAGUGCGACGAUUAUGUAAAAAAAUAUGGCAGCGUACCGACGUCGGGCGUCAUGCAUACGGUUGCUGGCGGAAGGUUGAGGCCCAACGUAAAGCACGUGAUCCACGCGGUCGGACCGGUGUGGAACGUCUUGAAUCAAGAUGACAAGUGUAUGUCGCAGUUAACCAUGACCUUCUUAAACGCAUUGAAGUAUGGGAAUGAAAAAUUGCGUGUGACGUCAAUAUCUUUUCCACUGAUAAGCUCUGGGAUUUUUGGUUGCCCGGUAGAGGUUUGCUCAAGGUCGUUUCUGUACGCAAUCCUUCUGUUUGGAAGCCAAUACCCUGACGCUGGCUUGAAGGAAAUCCACUUAGUAAACAAUAACGAGAACAACACCGGUCUUACAGUCGCUUAUUUACGAGAAAUGAUUCAUCAGGGAAGUGAGCAUCUUUUAGAUAAGGCGAGAAGAGUUUACAUGGAAUAUGACGGUACGAGAUUUUAACGUAAUGCUUACGUCAGGUCCCAUAACUAAGAAGUUCUUAAGCUUGCAAAUUAUAUCCUAAUCUUAUUAUCAAUCAAUUUAAUCACAAUCUAUUGGUAACAUGCGUAGAUACCACUUUGCAUAUUUUAUUGUUCAUUAACGCUUUCAAUUUUUUAACUGCCUUGGACUAAUGGUGUGGGGAAUGUUUACAUUUUACUCAACCACUGGGUAUCUUUCCGUGUUCCAUUUGAAAGUAGUGAUUAUUUCUGAAGAGUUCAUUUUCUCUGCUUUGAGAAAAGCAAUUGAAGAAUUGCAAAUAUGUGAUUUGUGGUUAUUUUCUUUAUCAAGUGUCUCUUCAAAAUGGUGAGGCAUUUAAUUGGAGAAAAUGUCGAAAGAUGAAGUUAUUGGGUACGUUUUAUGUAGAAAUGGGAUUUUGUCAAUUGUUUUUCCGGCGGUGUAAGAAUUGCUAGACGCAUUUUCAUUUUAGUAAUUAUAUAAUAUAUCAUUAU